UUGUUCCAGACCUUCCACUACGGCUCGUAGCAGGUGCUAUGGGUGGCCAUAGUGGGCUCCUAUUUGGGAUGUAUUUUUGAUCUGUUCAGCCCUCUCUGCUACGGCCAUAGCAGGUGCUAUAGGUGGCCGUAGGAGGCCUACUAAAGCGUGGGAAAACUUCUCCGAUUCUUUGUGAUUCUCCUUGGCUUCUACAUCCGAUUGUACUUGAAUAUCUAUUUGAAC
rnacentral:lncRNA from 1 species